CUUCUCCACAAGGCAGCAACUGGAUUGAUUUUGUUCACCCCAGGUGCCCAGAUGCCACUCAAACAUUUUCUUUGAAUUAAUGAAUGAAUUUUGAGAGUUUCAGAAUACUUUGCAAUCUUUUUGUCCAUGGAGAUGUGUGAAAACUUGACCACUUUUUGAACAAGAAAACCGGAGGCCAGAGGGAGGGCUGGGGACAACAGCAAUGACUGGAGGAGACUAGCGUGGUGUGGCCCCCAGAGAGGAGGGGAGGUGAUGCUGAACUCCUGGGGGAGCUGCGGUGGUUCUUAUAGAACCUUUGAUGAUAAAUGUAAAAAUGCCACAGAAGAAUGCUACGAUCAGAUGCAUUUUAAAAGCCAUUAAUAAAAACAGUGUAGGAAAAACAAUUCAAAAUGAUACCCACUUAAAGCAAGUCUUCCAAAAUGUCCUGGUCUGAUUUUCAAGACCUCAGACUUUCCCAGGCAAUCCGGGGAGGUCACAAGAACACCCUGCAUUUUGACUGAGCAACCCGAGAAAGCAAACUUUCAGUGGGGUCUUCGGAAUCAUCGGUGAUGCAGUUUUCUAGGGUAGUUUUACAUGGGAGAUGCUUUGAUUCUGUUGGUGCCCCAAGCUCCCCGUCUCGUCCGGACUCGGCGCAGGCAGAAUAGGGCAGUCAAGCCCACAGACCCUUGGACGCCUACGUAACAGCCUAGUGCAAACACGGAGGCUGCUGAUUGUUUUACUGUUUCACAUCUUGUUUUCAGUGUCUUAAAACUAUAUGAAUGGCAUCAUGCCGUAGUGUCCUCCGGACCUGGCUUUUCCAUUCAGCAGUUUGAGAUUCACCUGCGUUGAUAUGUAUAGGUCUAGACAACGUAACUAACUUCAGUGUAAUAGUCCUUUGACUCUGCCAUUGGUUUCCAAAUGGUGCUGCAGUGAGUACUCUUGCAUGCCUGCUGUGUGUAUGUCAGUCUCUCUAGUGUACCUGAUGACUUACUAUAUUCCUGAAUAUGUUCUGUACCUCCUAGGCUGGUUGCCUCUGUGUCAGCUGCCAUGUCUAAUUCCUGGACUUUGCAUAAAAGCCAUCCUGGGAAGGUUGGGAAACAGAAGUCACUCGAUGCCCAGAGAACCAGGGGUAUCAGCAUACUUUCUCUACUAGUUAAUUUCAACUUGAUUAAAGCAGUAUGCACAGCAGUGAGGUCGGACAGCAGACACCAUCAUCCUCUUCACAUGGGAGGAAACGGAGCUCUGGGGGCCACUCGCCCAAGGUCCUCAGUAACGACAGAGCCUGGCUGUGAAACCAGGUAGGGGCUCCAGGGUGUGCCCCCCACAGGCCCCGGGCUGCCUCCACGCCGUAUGUACCCUCUUUCACCUCAGAGGCUGUGUGCCCUGAGAUGUGCCUGUGAAGAUCCCAACCAACAACACGCUGCUGGGGUAAGAGACUCAGGAGAGAAACUUGAGAUUGUGAUAAGGAAACUAGCUACACAGACUGAAGGGUCAUGGUUGCUAUGGAAAAUACGAUGCAUUUAAGUGCGUUAGAUACAAUCUUAGGAGGCAUGAGAAACACCUCUUACUUUUUAUAUUUAAAGGGAGUCCAAAAAUCAUUAUUGCACUGUUUUUAUAACCAGAGAAUAAAAGAUGAUUUUUCCCUUUUCCUGAACUCAAGCCUUUGGUUCUGCUGUGGGUCGAAUUGUGCCCCCUGAAAGUUCACAUGUUGGGAAUCCUCACCCCAGGACCUCAGAAUGUGCCCUUUCUAGAGACGGGGCUGUUGCAGGUGUAACUAGUCGAGAUGAGGUCAUGCUGGAGCAGGGUGGCCCCCACCCAGUGGGGACACUUGCACACAGACACGCACACGGGGAGAACACCGCGUGAAGACGAAUGCUGGGCCUGGGGUGAGGCAUCACCAGCCAAGGGACCCAAAGAUGCCAGAAACCACCAGGGCCAGCAGGGGUUAGGAACAGACUCCCCGUCAGGCCCCGGAGGACCAGCCCUGCCGACACGUGGAUCUGACCCCAGCCUCCAGAACUGUGUCGCGUCACCAGUCUGAGGUCCCUAAUUACAGGAGACCCAGGAAACUCAGACAGACUCUGACAAGUGUGCAAACCACAGCAGCCCCAUGGGACCCACACCUGACCCUCACUCAACAGUGAAGAGUUAAUUCUUGACUACCAAAAUCACUAAUCUAUACACUACUUUUCAUAAGAAAUGAUUUUGACUGUUCCCAUCACCAUGUAUUUUAUUUAUUUCAGUUAGAUAUUUACAGAUAUUUGCUGAUACAAAAAUACAAGGACCAGGCAGACUGAAAGUUGAGGCAAUGCCACCCUCACUGCAGAACCCUCCAGCUCCUUGAGCUCUGUGUACUUCCCCAAACGCUUUCUCACAGGCUUUAAAUAGUUGAAAAUGUUUCCGUGUGAGAACGACCCCACGGCACUGCAUGCACCAGGACUGGACGGGGGCUCAGUAUCUGUACUUGGUGGAGUAGUCCUUCGGGGACACGACCAGGCCGCGGCCCUUCCGGGCCCCCCGGUACACCGUCUCGAUGAUGUCGAUCAUCUCCUGCUUGUCUUCCAUGGCCCAGUUGAUCUUGUUGUUGUUGCCAGUGCCCAGGUCGAUCAUGAUGUGCUUGUUCCUGUAG